rnacentral:rRNA from 1 species
AUUGAACGCUGGCGGCAUGCCUUACACAUGCAAGUCGAACGGUAACAGGUUAAGCUGACGAGUGGCGAACGGGUGAGUAAUAUAUCGGAACGUGCCCAGUCGUGGGGGAUAACGUAGCGAAAGCUACGCUAAUACCGCGUACGAUCUACGGCUGAAAGCGGGGGAUCGCAAGACUUCGCGCGAUUGGAGCGGCGGAUAUCGGAUUAGGUUGUUGGUGAGGUAAAAGCUCACCAAGCCUGCGAUCUGUAGCUGGUCUGAGAGGACGACCAGCCACACUGGAACUAAGACACGGUCCAGACUCCUACGGGAGGCAGCAGUGGGGAAUUUUGGACAAUGGACGCAAGUCUGAUCCAGCAAUGCCGCGUGCAGGACGAAGGCCUUCGGGUUGUAAACUGCUUUUGUACGGAACGAAACGGUGAGCUCUAAUACAGUUUGCUAAUGACGGUACCGUAAGAAUAAGCACCGGCUAACUACGUGCCAGCCGCCGCCGUAA